GCCUGGGUGGCUCAGUUGGUUAAGCAUCUGACUUCAGCUCAGGUCAUGAUCUCAUGGCUUGUGGGUUCAAGCCCUGCGUCAGGCC
rnacentral:tRNA from 1 species